CCUACGGGAGGCAGCAGUGAGGAAUAUUGGUCAAUGGGCGCGAGCCUGAACCAGCCAAGUAGCGUGAAGGAUGACUGCCCUACGGGUUGUAAACUUCUUUUAUAGAGGAAUAAAGUGAGGCACGUGUGCCUUUUUGUAUGUACUUUAUGAGUAAGGAUCGGCUAACUACGUGCCAGCAGCCGCGGUAAUACGGAGGAUCCGAGCGUUAACCGGAUUUAUUGGGUUUAAAGGGAGCGUAGAUGGGUUGUUAAGUCAGUUGUGAAAGUUUGCGGCUCAACCGUAAAACUGCAAUUGAUACUGGAAGGCUUGAGUACAGGUGAGGUAGGCGGAAUUCGUGGUGUAGCGGUGAAAUGCUUAGAUAUCACGAAGAACUCCGAUUGCGAAGGCAGCUUACUAAACUGCCACUGACAUUGAUGCUCGAAAGUGUGGGUAUCAAACAGGAUUAGAUACCCCUGUAGUC
rnacentral:rRNA from 1 species